AUUGAACGCUGGCGGCAUGCCUUACACAUGCAAGUCGAACGGCAGCGGGGACUUCGGUCCGCCGGCGAGUGGCGAACGGGUGAGUAAUAUAUCGGAACGUACCUUUCAGUGGGGGAUAACGUAGCGAAAGUUACGCUAAUACCGCAUAUUCUGUGAGCAGGAAAGCAGGGGAUCUUCGGACCUUGCGCUGAUUGAGCGGCCGAUAUCAGAUUAGCUGGGUGGUGGGGUAAAGGCUCACCAAGGCGGCGAUCUGUAGCGGGUCUGAGAGGAUGGACCGCCCCACUGGAAACGGGACACGGUCCAGACUCCUACGGGAAGGAGGAGUGGGGGAUUUUGGACCAUGGGGGGAACCCUGGUCCAGCCAUGCCGGGUGAGGGAAGAAGGCCUUCGGGUUGUAAAGCUCUUUCGGCCGGGAAAGAAUCGGACGGGUUAAUACCCCCGUUGGAUGACGGUACCGGAAUAAGAAGCACCGGCUAACUACGUGCCAGCCGCCGCCGUAA
rnacentral:rRNA from 1 species